rnacentral:rRNA from 1 species
CCUACGGGUGGCAGCAGUGGGGAAUAUUGGGCGAUGGGCGCAAGCCUGACCCAGCAACGCCGCGUGAAGGAAGAAGGCUUUCGGGUUGUAAACUUCUUUUCUGAGGGACGAAGAAAGUGACGGUACCUCAGGAAUAAGCCACGGCUAACUACGUGCCAGCAGCCGCGGUAAUACGUAGGUGGCAAGCUUUAUCCGGAUUUAUUGGGUGUAAAGGGCGUGUAGGCGGGAAAGCAAGUCAGAUGUGAAAACUCAGGGCUAAACCCUGAGCCUGCAAUUGAAACUGUUUUUCUUGAGUGCUGGAGAGGCAAUCGGAAUUCCGAGUGUAGCGGUGAAAUGCGGAGAUAUACGGAGGAACAGCAGUGGCGAAGGCGGAUUGCUGGACAGUAACUGACGCUGAGGCGCGAAAGCGUGGGGAGCAAACAGGAUUAGAUACCCGGGUAGUC